rnacentral:rRNA from 1 species
UACGGAGGGCCCAAGCGUUAUCCGGAAUCAUUGGGUUUAAAGGGUCCGUAGGCGGUUUUGUAAGUCAGUGGUGAAAGCCCAUCGCUCAACGGUGGAACGGCCAUUGAUACUGCAAGACUUGAAUUAUUAGGAAGUAACUAGAAUAUGUAGUGUAGCGGUGAAAUGCUUAGAUAUUACAUGGAAUACCAAUUGCGAAGGCAGGUUACUACUAAUAUAUUGACGCUGAUGGACGAAAGCGUGGGGAGCGAACAGG